UUAUCAUUCAUAAUAUAUUGAUUUAGAUGUGUCUUUCUAACGAUGGUCAGGUUGGUCGAGCCACACUCGGAUCUGGUCAUUCGUUUGUCAGAUACACUGAAUUCUGAUAUGUUAAUGGUUAGAUCUAACCAGGAUUUUCAGUGGAGGUGCCACAUACCUGCUGAAGAGAUACCUGGGGCAAAAUUAACUGCUAGAAAUCAUUUGGUAAAAUA
rnacentral:lncRNA from 1 species